rnacentral:rRNA from 1 species
UGGGGGGGGUUGCCUAUACAUGCAAGUCGAACGAAGGGUUUUGUAGUAAUACGGAACCUUUAGUGGCGAAUGGGUGAGUAACGCGUUGGUGACCUACCCCGAAGAGGGGGAUAACAGCUCGAAAGGGCUGCUAAUACCCCAUGUGGUCACAAGGGUUAGAGGCCUUGUGACUAAAGACGUAAGUCGCUUUGGGAGGGGCCUGCGUCCCAUCAGCUAGUUGGUAGGGUAAUGGCCUACCAAGGCUACGACGGGUAGGGGACCUGAGAGGGUGACCCCCCACACUGGCACUGAAACACGGGCCAGACACCUACGGGUGGCAGCAGUAGGGAAUAUUAGACAAUGGGCGAAAGCCUGAUCUAGCAACGCCGCGUGCACGAUGAAGGCCUUCGGGUCGUAAAGUGCUUUUUGAUGGGAUGAGGAAGGACAGUACCAUCAGAAUAAGGAUCGGCUAACUACGUGCCAGCAGCCGCGGUAACACGUAGGAUCCGAGCGUUAUCCGAAUUUACUGGGCGUAAAGCGCUUGCAGGCGGUUUGGUAAGUUGGAUGUGAAAGCUCCUGGCUCAACUGGGAGAAGUCGUUCAAAACUACCAGACUCGAGGACGGUAGAGGGAGGUGGAAUUCCAGGUGUAGUAGUGAAAUCCGUAGAUAUUAGGAGGAACACCGGUGGCGAAGGCGGCUACCUGGACCGAUAUUGACGCUGAGACGCGAAAGCGUGGGGAGCAAACAGGAUUAGAUACCCUGGUAGUCCACGCCGUAAACGAUGAGAACUAGUGUUGCGGGUAUUGACCCCUGCAGUGCCGCAGCUAACGCAUUAAGUUUCUCCGCCUGGGAAGUACCGGUCGCCAAGGACUA